AUGGGACAGCUGCUUGCUGGGAUCUGUACCUCCAAUGUGAGCAACCAGAAUAGACAGUGCUGUGCUCGACAAAGACCACAAGCCAAGGGGUUACUGCUUCAAUAGAAUAAGACAGCAAACCAUGAGAAUGAGGGAUGACAAAGAUAUGAAAAUCUAACAGCAAGAUGAACCAACCUGUGGGUCUUCCUUUUCCAGCACCUUCAUGCUUGAAGUCAUGGAAGUGAGAUCUAUGGAUUAGGCUGAGGGAGGACAAUCUCCCCUCUGUUGCUGCUACAGAUUGAUUAUUUUAAUGUAAAUGUUACCAUCUUGGUCAGCCUUCGUCUCACCUGUGUGUGAUUUCAGAAUGCUUUAAAUUACAUCUGGAGGCUCCAACUGUGUUAGUCAUUGCCCAUAGAGGAUAAG
ensembl:lncRNA